rnacentral:rRNA from 1 species
AGCGAACGCUGGCGGCAGGCUUAACACAUGCAAGUCGAACGGUCCUUCGGGAUAGUGGCGGACGGGUGAGUAACACGUGGGAACGUACCCUUAGGUUCGGAACAACACAGGGAAACUUGUGCUAAUACCGGAUAAGCCCUUCGGGGGAAAGAUUUAUCGCCUUUGGAGCGGCCCGCGUCUGAUUAGCUUGUUGGUGAGGUAAUGGCUCACCAAGGCUACGAUCAGUAGCUGGUCUGAGAGGAUGGCCAGCCACACUGGGACUGAGACACGGCCCAGACUCCUACGGGAGGCAGCAGUGGGGAAUCUUGCGCAAUGGGCGAAAGCCUGACGCAGCCAUGCCGCGUGGAUGAUGAAGGUCUUAGGAUUGUAAAAUCCUUUCACCGGGGACGAUAAUGACGGUACCCGGAGAAGAAGCCCCGGCUGACUUCGUGCCAGCAGCCGCAGUAA